ensembl:lncRNA
UAGAAUUCCAUUCCAACUGUAAGAGAAAAACAAGCCCUUCCUCAAACAAGUUCUUGUUUUCAGAAACAAUGAAACGCUGACUCAAUACUUCCUGAACGUGUCCCUUUCUACCCCUUGGCAGAGCUUCUAUAAGCAGAACGAUCAGAAGGAGGGGAGGAAAGUAGACAGAAAGAGAAGCAAGGAAUCUGGGUGCAUUUCCAAGCUGAAUAAUCAGCUUCCUCCUCCGAAAGGGAAUUGGCAAGGCUGUAUGGAAGGAUCCAUGAUUCCUUCCCUCUGAUUGUGGCAGCAGUAUGUAAGCUGGCAAGAGGGCCCUGCAGAUACUAUGGAUGGACAUAAUCAUCCCUCAAAGGCUCCCAUUUAACUCACUGUAAUUUAAGAUUACACAGCCCUACUUGCUCUGCAUACGUCUUCUUCUGGGCAGAUCCCAUCAACCUCUUUGGUUACCAGCUACACCACUCAGCAGCACACGAAAGGACAUGUGAUUUCCUAGAGCAGAGAACAUGUAGAAAGAACAGUCAUGCUCCAGUUUAAAAGGACAGAACUACCAACAAAGGAUCAGAACAUGGAUAACAGCUACUGCUGCUGAAUGCUAAGACAUCUAGAAAUAAUCGACCCAAGGAUAACAAAACUGAAACUCCUUUGGCUGACCGAUCGUAAUACUCGCAAGACAAAUGCUUGAUCAAUGGCAGCAUAUUCCAUGCCCUGCGUUGCAAUUUUAGUAAGUAUGAUGGUGCUUUUUCAUUAUGAGGGACAGUGAGACUGUCUAAUCUAUGUGUUCCCGAAUCCACAGUCCCAUUUAACAAAAGGCCGUGAUGAGAAGGGAAACCCUUUUUCAACUGAAAUCUGGGACUUUACACGCAAUCAGUUUCAAAGAAUUGCUUGGCUCAGGAGAGAAAGCCAGAGCUGGUAAGUGUUAGGAAAC